GUGGGAGGGGGCUUGCCCCCGAUGGCGGUAGAUCAGUCAGUGAUGGGUUGACUGACCCAGUGCAAUCGGGGGCAAGUCCCCUCCCAC
rnacentral:antisense_RNA from 2 species